AUGCCGGCCAGCGCCGCCGAGGCCGCCGCGGAAGGCGAGGAGAAGGCGGCAGAGGCUGGGGGCAGGGAGCUGCUGUACUGCGGCACGGUGCGCUUCGACAUCAUGGGCCGGAAGGUGAAGGGAGGGCAUGAGGGCAGAGGCAACCUGGUGUCCCCGACGCGGCUGCGCCCUCUCGUGGGCGUGGACAUCCGCUUCGUCGCCUCUGGCUGCGCGGCUUGCCAUUGUGUUGCUCUGAGUGCUGACGGCCGUUGCUUCUCAUGGGGUCGAAAUGAGAAUGGGCAGCUGGGACAUGGGGACACUCUCUUGCGUAACCUGCCAAGUGUUGUUUCUGAACUAUCAAAAUAUAACAUAAUUGCAGCAGGUGUUGGAAGAAAACAUACAGUGGUCGUAACCGACGAAGGGAAGUCCUUCGCAUUUGGUGACAACAAACAUGGACAACUGGGGACCGGUUCACUGAAGAGUGGAACUGUGGUGUCGCCAGUCCCCUGCCUUGUUACUGAAGUGACUAAUGCUGUUUGUGGUGCUGACUUUACUGUCUGGCUGUCAUCAGUCGAGGGCUCUUCAAUACUGACAGCAGGUCUUCCGCAGUACGGCCAACUUGGUCAUGGAAGCAACAAUGAGUAUAAUGCCAAAGUUUCAUCGGUAAGUGUAGUGUAUGAUCCCCAGCCCCAUCCGAGAGCAAUAGCUGCAUUAUCUGGGAACACUGUUGUCAAAGUUGCAUGUGGAACAAAUCAUACAGUUGCAGCUGAUUCAAGUGGCUUUGUUUACACCUGGGGUUUUGGUGGAUAUGGAAGGUUGGGCCACAAUGAACAGAAGGAUGAGUGGCAACCACGCCUUGUUGAAAUAUUUCAAAAGAACAAUAUCCUGGGUCCCAAUGAUAUUAUCUCAGCUGGUUCUGCAAGUUCUGCCUGCACUGCUGGUGAUCUCGUAUCGCAUAUGAUUGGAAGAAAAUAG
rnacentral:rRNA from 1 species